UCAGCUUCAACUUCACGACGGCGGGGGAGGGGGAGGGGGAGGAGGAGGAGGAGGAUUCCGCCAUUGAUAUGUAACUGCCUCUCUGCAAAAUUAACUGUGAAGUUUGUUAAGAGUGAGAACUGUUUUUAUAUAGGCGGGCAAUUAGGUCAAAAUCGGUUCCAUUUCGAUUAGACCGCGGUUCUGGUUUGAACCGCCGGCUUGAAACUAGCGAACCGGCCGUUCCAAACCCUCUGUCGUCGCUCUUUCUCCGAGCAUCCUUUUAUUGAAUCUGUAAAUUGUACAACCGCGCAGAACCAUACCACCGAAAAUACAGGCUUUCAUUUUGAGUGCUGUUUCUAAUUUUUCAUAUUCGGGGAGUAGGAACUGUAAGCCGUUUGAAUGCAGGGGAGGUAAAUUCAAUCACGCCGAUUGAAUACAGUGAAGAUAUUGCAAACUGACACUUGGAAACGGGCGUCAUGGCUAUGCUAGCAUCAAUGAUGGCAAUGAUGUACCAAUCGUCAAGGCCAAGAGUACUGAAGAACCUGGAAAGUAUCUGUUGUCUGAGAGACGUAAAGAAAAGAACAAACGGGAGAAAAAUCACUUGAAUAAUCUGAAACAGGCUGCUAAAGUUGGUGCUCUGCCAAGCCAUGUUCAACUGGCCACCACUGCUUUACCCAUAAAGGGACCCUAGAGAAGUCCAAGAAAAUUAGCAAGGAUGAGUUACAAAAUGUUGCUGGAAUUGCAGCAACUUCAACAGCAAGUGGUGGAAAAUUUGACAAAAUGUUACCAAAUGGUUUAAUAGUAAGUAAGCAGGCCAAGGAUUUUCUAAUUCUAAAAUUUAUCUGCAAGCAGUUCCUACCAGUGGUUGAAGGGUUGGGAAUGGGUGCCAUGGAGAGACAGAAAACUGAGAAAGUUUUGAACAAAUCUCCAAAAGCUCACGUGAGAUACUCAAUGUAGAAAAGGCUGUUAACAUGUACAAUGUGAAUAAGGAAAAGGGGCAAAGAAAACAAGGUGGGCAAUCAUCAUCCUCUGGCAAGAUGAAACCUAACAAGAAAUCUUUCAAGAAAUCAUCUAAAAAGGGUCCCUCAUCUAAAAAGUGUCCCUCAUCUAAAAAGUGCUCCUCAAAUAAGAAGAUAUAUGGUUUUCGAUAUCAAAGAUAGCUGACAGCUUACUUUUUCAAGACUUCCUUAUCAUAGCCACCAUGUAUAAUUGUCAAUAAAGGAGGAAGAAGAUAAGGAUCACAUUCUUGCUUUGCUGGAUAGAAGGUAUGAAAUCUUGCUCUUCCAUAUUUCAUUUUAUUUUAUUUUUUAUUACCUUUUUGAGAGAUAAAAUUAUGCCCUCUAUUAUUUGAGAUAUUUUUAGGCAGCUAGUCGGAUUAUAUUGAUACUGUUUCUUCAGUGGGUUUUGGAUGUGAUUGCUGGUUGGAUUGUGUUUGUGUCACUUGCUAUCUAAGAAUAUAUUGAGUGAAGAAUCAUUGAGUGUUUCUAUUAGAGUAAAUGUAAAUUGACAUGUUAUAGGAUUAUGGUAGUAAAUUUGCCAAAAAUGAGAAAAAAGUAAAAAUUUAAAAAUAGAAUAGUGAGAUGAAUAUGAAAAUGAUAAGAGGAUAUGGAAAGUAGGGUGGGAAUGGGAAUGAAAAAUAGUGAAUAUGCAAAGUGGAAAGCAAUGGUGAUAGAGAAUGAGAUGGAAUUUUGGCAGCAUGUGCUGAUUUGAAUUGAAUGCAAGCAAGACAGACAGUCGAGCCAUAUAAUCGAGAGAGAGAGAGAGAGAGAGAGAGAGAGAGAGAGAGAGAUGGACCAUUUCACGUGCCCAUAGGUCCCAUUAGUUCAUCAUUUCACCCCAUUCUCAAAUCUCAACUUUAUUGAUUUAUUUCAUUAUUCAUCUUUGUGGGUAGGACUUAGGAGAUGUACUCUGCACAUAUCAAUAAAUCAUUAUUGCCCUUUACGAUUUGAAGAAGUGCACUUGAACAUAUAUGACUGAUUUUUUUGUUUUUAUGUUAUUUUUCUAAAAAAUAUUACAUUCAAUUCCCUUUCUUGAAAA